rnacentral:rRNA from 1 species
AACGUCUCAGUUCGGAUUGUAGUCUGCAACUCGACUACAUGAAGCUGGAAUCGCUAGUAAUCGCGGAUCAGAAUGCCGCGGUGAAUACGUUCCCGGGUCUUGUACACACCGCCCGUCACACCAUGGGAGUCGGGAAUGCCCGAAGUCAGUGGCCCAACCGGAAGGGGGGAGCUGCCGAAGGCAGGCCUGAUGACUGGGGUGAAGUCGUAACAAGGUAAC